rnacentral:rRNA from 1 species
AUUGAACACUGGCGGCAUGCUUAACACAUGCAAGUCGAACGGUAACAGGCCCUUCGGGGUGCUGACGAGUGGCGGACGGGUGAGUAAUGCUUAGGAAUCUGCCUAGUAGUGGGGGAUAACCCGGGGAACUCGGGCUAAUACCGCAUACGCCCUACAGGGGGAAAGCGGGGGACUUUCGGGCCUCGCGCUAUUAGAUGAGCCUAAGUCCGAUUAGCUAGUUGGUAGGGUAAUGGCCUACCAAGGCGACGAUCGGUAGCUGGUCUGAGAGGACGACCAGCCACACUGGGACUGAGACACGGCCCAGACUCCUACGGGAGGCAGCAGUGGGGAAUAUUGGACAAUGGGCGCAAGCCUGAUCCAGCGAUGCCGCGUGUGUGAAGAAGG